CAGCCCAGCAGCACAGCGGUUUAAACCACUGCGCUGCCCCAUUAAGUAUGUGGAAAAAUGUUCGAAGCUCUUUCUUGCCAUCCGUUUGCUAAACAACAACGGAGGCUUCCGAUCUGCAGGCCAGGAGUCGUCUGCAAAGGCACCAUCGCUUUUUAGCGUCCCCCCAGUCCAGUUUAAAGGCAAACACAUGCAACAAACCCGUUUUUAUGCAAUCGGCUGUUGAGAAGCCGGUAAUAUUUCCCCUUUGCCGCUCGCUGGGGUAGCUCUUGAGCAACCGGGGGUUCGUUCAACCGACAAAAUGUCUCUGCAGAGAUAUAGUCAGCCCAGCUGUUACCGGCUGGAGGAGUUAGGUUGUCUGAUGUCACAUUGAAUUGAAUAUCAAUCUGCCUCAAAAUUCGGGAAAUGCUACAGAUGGGUUUUCACUGGGAAUCUCUGGCGAUAGGUCUCUGACCCAAAGAGCCUACAGUGCAGCGAUAACGGUGGAGGAGAAGGCGGAAGAAAAGACGGCAGAAGGAAAAUGACGGCGUAACAGCAAACUUUCGUGUUGGUGACCUGGUGGACGUGAAAUCACUUCAAACGUCUUCCAACGGGUGCUGGAAAGAGAGGCCUCCAUCGCUCGAGGAAACGAAAAGCAGACCUUUUUCUACUGGAGGAGAGAAAACCCACAAAGGAGCCACGGAGCCGAUACACAACUGAGUUCAGUUCUUGGCCGAGCAUAAAAAGUGUGGCGUGCAGCGCUCCAUUUUCUGAUCGUAUAUGACCGGCUGAGCUCAGCGGCUCCCGAGCAGAGGACGCCCAGGGACUCCAGGAUCCGAGGCAAGAAAAGCAGAGCCAAACUGCCCGCCCCCCAUGGCCCGGGUCCUAACUGUUUUGCUCAGUGUCAAGUGUGAACCCAAGUAAGGUGGCUGCAGUCAAAGGGACGUUCCUCUAGGUGAAAGUCCCGGGACACCUGCCU